rnacentral:rRNA from 1 species
CCUACGGGCGGCAUCAGUGGGGAAUAUUGGACAAUGGGGGCAACCCUGAUCCAGCCAUGCCGCGUGUGUGAAGAAGGCCCUCGGGUUGUAAAGCACUUUCAGUGAGGAAGAACGCCUGGUGGUUAAUACCCAUCAGGAAAGACAUCACUCACAGAAGAAGCACCGGCUAACUCCGUGCCAAGCAGCCGCGGUAAUACGGAGGGUGCGAGCGUUAAUCGGAAUUACUGGGCGUAAAGCGCGCGUAGGUGGCUUGAUACGCCGGUUGUGAAAGCCCCGGGCUCAACCUGGGAACGGCAUCCGGAACUGUCAAGCUAGAGUGCAGGAGAGGAAGGUAGAAUUCCCGGUGUAGCGGUGAAAUGCGUAGAGAUCGGGAGGAAUACCAGUGGCGAAGGCGGCCUUCUGGACUGACACUGACACUGAGGUGCGAAAGCGUGGGUAGCAAACAGGAUUAGAUACCCUAGUAGUC